ensembl:lncRNA
AUGUAUUUCUUGGGGCUCAGGGGGUCUGGGGUCAUCCUUCCUGCCUCUGGAGAGUCAGCUUCAGAAGCCUCAGUCCUGGUCUCUCUCCAUCCCAGACCUGUGUUUCCAGUCAUUUCCUCACCUGUCCUUGGAUGUGUCAUCCCCACCCCAGACUCACAGGUCCUUUUCAUCUCCUCUUGCCCCCUGUGCCCAGAGGCCCACCUCCUGCCAGUGGUGGCUGCUCAUUUUCCUGAUCCCAUCACCUGGGUCCAAAAUCCCAUCACUUCUGAAAGAAGGGGCACAUGGCGGGCCAGGGGAGCCCUGCUCCAUGGUGGGAGCUGGGUCAAGCCCCUAGGGACCCCUAUGACCUGGGGCCUUGGUUUCCCUUCUGUGAGCUGUGGCCCGUCUAUUCCAGGCAGCGGGGGAGAUGGAGGAUGUGAUAUGAGAUACAGUGCGGUGUGUGAGAUACUCUUCCCGGGAGCUGGGUGUCCUGCACUGCCGUCCACCCACCAUUCUACAUUUGUGUCCCCAUGGCUGUCACUAGCAUUCAAAGGCUCUAACUGCCUUCACAAGGGUCCCUCCAGCCCUUCAGCACUGUGUCCAGAAUGGCCCGUGGGUAGGGCAACCCUGAACUUUGCCAAGCCACUCCCUGCUCAGAACCCUCCAGGGCUGAUCAUCACUCAUCACUUACCCCAGACACCAGGGCGUCCUGCACUUGAAGGCCUUUGCCAUGUCCUCCGUAUCCUCUCAUGGGGAUGCCCUGGGCCCCUGGCCUCUCUCUCAGAGUCUCCAGGUCAGUCAGCGUGCAAGCUCCGGGAAACAUGAGCUCAGCUGCCCUGCCCCAGGGAGGGGCGGGAUCGUGGUGGACACGACCCAUGACCUCAUCUCUCCUGGCUCCAGGCAGCAGCCCUGCCCACCUCUGGAGAAUUCCAUGACUCAGGUCCUGAAGGCUCAGCUCCUUGGAAGCACACAGUGAACGUGGACGCGAACCUGAUGUCCUUUAGGAAACACCCCACCCCCAUCCCCACCUCAUCGCCCAAGAUGCUGUCACUUCAGUAGCCUCCAAAGGUGCCUAGACACAUGUGUGCAAGACACGCACACAUGUGCACACGUGCUUGCAUGCAUGCCAAUAUGUCAUCUAUUAAAAUUCCAGUUUUACAAACUUGUUUUAAAAUUGCCCAAAGGACAUGGAAAAUAACCCUGCUUUGAAGAUGUGUGCUGCCUCAGCCGACAUCUGCUUUCCUGGUCUCUGGACCGAGUGGGGGAGGCUGAGUCUGAGCCUCCUCUCCUCUGGUGGGGGUGGGCUGGUCUAGGGGUGUUUCUGCUGCCUGGGCACCCCCUGCUCUGCCAGCGCCCAUCCCAGGAGGGGACUAGUACUGGCCUGAGGCUGGCAGGGUGUGGAGGGUGCUGAGGCC